GGUAACUAGGGGCCGGGGGGCGCGCUAAAGGGGGGGGGGCAGGGGGUGUGCGGAUUUAUUGGGCGUAAAGGGCGUGUAGGCGGCCUGGAAGGUCAGCUGGGAAAACGCGAGGCUCAACCGCGAGACGUCGGUUGAAACCACCUGGCUAGAGUCCGGAAGAGGAGUGUGGAAUUCCCGGUGUAGCGGUGAAAUGCGCAGAUAUCGGGAGGAACACCAGUGGCGAAGGCGGCGAUCUGGGCAGAUACUGACGCUGAGGUGCGAAAGCGUGGGGAGCAAACAGGAUUAGAUACCCGAGUAGUC
rnacentral:rRNA from 1 species